rnacentral:rRNA from 1 species
AGCGAACGCUGGCGGCAGGCUUAACACAUGCAAGUCGAGCGGGCGUAGCAAUACGUCAGCGGCAGACGCGUGAGUAACGCGUGGGAACGUACCUUUUGGUUCGGAACAACACAGGGAAACUUGUGCUAAUACCGGAUAAGCCCUUACGGGGAAAGAUUUAUCGCCGAAAGAUCGGCCCGCGUCUGAUUAGCUUGUUGGUGGGGUAAUGGCCCACCAAGGCGACGAUCAGUAGCUGGUCUGAGAGGAUGAUCAGCCACAUUGGGACUGAGACACGGCCCAAACUCCUACGGGAGGCAGCAGUGGGGAAUAUUGGACAAUGGGCGCAAGCCUGAUCCAGCCAUGCCGCGUGAGUGAUGAAGGCCUUAGGGUUGUAAAGCUCUUUCGUCCGGGACGAUAAUGACGGUACCGGAAGAAGAAGCCCCGGCUAACUUCGUGCCAGCCGCCGCAGUAA